rnacentral:piRNA from 1 species
UGAAGCAAGAGCUUGAGGCGGCC